GGAAUCUUCCACAAUGGGCGAAAGCCUGAUGGAGCAACGCCGCGUGUGUGAUGAAGGCUUUCGGGUCGUAAAGCACUGUUGUAUGGGAAGAACAGCUAGAAUAGGAAAUGAUUUUAGUUUGACGGUACCAUACCAGAAAGGGACGGCUAAAUACGUGCCAN
rnacentral:rRNA from 1 species